rnacentral:rRNA from 1 species
GACGAACCGAGCGAACGUUGUUCGGAAUCACUGGGCUUAAAGGGCGCGUAGGCGGGUGCUCAAGUCCGGGGUGAAAUCCUCCAGCUCAACUGGAGAACUGCCUCGGAUACUGGGUGCCUCGAGGGUGGUAGGGGUAUGCGGAACUAUCGGUGGAGCGGUGAAAUGCGUUGAUAUCGAUAGGAACUCCGGUGGCGAAGGCAGCUCGCUGGGACGUCACUGACGCUGAGACGCGAAAGCGUGGGGAGCAAACAGG